AUGAGUUGUAGUAUCCAUCAACGUUUAGACAAAAACAGUAAUCAACUCUUUUUAAAAUAAAUAGAAUUAGGAGGCUAGGAUCCAUCGUUUCUUUCAUUUUUUUUUCUUAGUACAUAAAACAUACAGCUGCGUUGUAAACAUGAGAUAUGAAGUAGUUAAGUGAGUUUUAUUUAUAUUUAAUGCUUGUGUUUGUCGCGUCGUCAGAGACCAGUUAAACACGAUAAGACACGAUUUACCAGCCCUAAUAAAUACAAGCAAUCCCAAAGGUCUUUUUAAACUUGGGAUCUCUAUGCUACUAUUCAAAGAAGUAAGGUCUUAAGUCAUUAAAAUAUAUUUCUUGAUUUUUGAGUUUAAGAUGUUGAUAGAUUGGUCAAGACACUAUGGUUUUAAAACUUAAAAAUGAUCAUCUUUUAAUCAUGAAUCUUGGGAUGUGGGUUGUUAAAAAGUUCAAAACUUUCUUUGCUCAUAAAGCUUCUGGUACAAGUAGCUUUCACAGCACUAAAAGUAACAAAAUUUGGUCAUCACUCACUGGUAAUUAAUUAAAAAGUUUUUAAAAAAAAAAACAAAUGUUGCUUCUUUGGUUAGUACUCUUGGUUUAAAAAAGCGUGAAGCGCACAAAAGCGACAAGGUCUAAAAUCAAAGCGCGAAGCGCAAAUCGCAAAAGCGGCGGGCUUUUCGUACGUGAGGCGCAAGGUGCUUAUAUAUUUGUUAUAU
rnacentral:lncRNA from 1 species